UGGUGCAUUCACACCAGCACUAAAGCACUGGAUCCCAUCAGAACUCCGAAGUUAAGCGUACAUGGCUGGGAGUAGUACUAGGAUGGGUGACCCCAUGGAAGUUCUCGUGUUGCGCUCU
rnacentral:rRNA from 15 species